rnacentral:lncRNA from 1 species
CUUCCUAGAAGCCUGGAUGGUCAGCCUUCCGUCCUGUUCAUAUGUCCUUGCUUGACACACUCAGGACUCUGUAAAUGGCAGUAACAGCAACCAAAAUGGAUGAGAGGGUAAGAAAGAAGGCCAGCUCCCCACUUCUCUCACUCUCCUGGCAAUAUAUGAAUCAGCAGAAAUAGGUAUCAGAUUCUUUGGCCUCUACCAGGCUGGAAUAGGCAUGAGUUUAUACUUUACUUUAUACUUGCUCUUAGAGUCAUGUGAUGGCUGUUGUUCACGUGGACACUGCCAGUUGAAUGCUGUCUGCUGGAAUCACUACAGUGAAACUGAGGGGAGGCUCACAGCACAGAUUUGUUAUAGGGAAGCUGAAGGUCGGGGCAAUGAUUCCAGUACAGGUCAGGCUCAGCACAGCAGAAGGGGCCGAUACCUCUACCCAGUAGGCCUUGCUGCUGUGUAUGGCCCCUGUAACAUCAUCUUUAGCGUUUCCUUAAAAUGUCUUAAAAUUAUCAGCAUCAAACUGUUUCCUGUGUCUUUUUCUUGCCAUGCAUAUGUGGAAAAUGUGUCCCAUCACUUGGCCUUUCCCUGUUGAGUACGUACUGGAGAAAGAAUCCUGCACAAUGAAAACAGGAAGAAGAGGUUUGCUGGAGGGAGUGCACAUGGAAAGGCCCAGGACUUCCUUCCAAGGAGGCUCAAUAUGAGGACUACUAUGCAGAUGUUUUAGACAUGGAGGACACAUCCAAUGCCCAGAAAGAACCACACUGACUCCAGCUCAGUAGCCAAUUUGCCUAGAGUCCAGGAACCUAGGAGUCCAGGAGCCCCUUGGUCCUUUAAAGCACGUCAUGGUGGGCACACUGGGCAAAGAAAACCGCUCACUUCGUGUAAAGAAGUCACAGUGGAAGAGAAGGGGAAGUGGUGAUGCACUCCCCUUCCUGGAUUUGCCCCCUCUUAACUAAGUGCCUCUCAGCACUAGGGCCUAAGAGCUAAGCGCUAAGUGCCUAAGGCCCCACCUCUUAAAGCUGCCACCA